CGCGUGAGUAACCUGCCUUGGAGUGGGGAAUAACACAUCGAAAGAUGUGCUAAUACCGCAUAAUGCAGUUGGGCCGCAUGGCUCUGACUGCCAAAGAUUUAUCGCUCUGAGAUGGACUCGCGUCUGAUUAGCUGGUUGGCGGGGUAACGGCCCACCAAGGCGACGAUCAGUAGCCGGCCUGAGAGGGCGGACGGCCACAUUGGGACUGAGACACGGCCCAAACUCCUACGGAAGGCAGCAG
rnacentral:rRNA from 1 species